UACGUAGGUGGCAAGCGUUGUCCGGAUUUACUGGGCGUAAAGAGCGCGCAGGCGGUCGUUCAAGUCGCGUGUGAAAGCCCCCGGCUCAACUGGGGAGGGUCACGCGAUACUGAUCGACUCGAAGGCAGGAGAGGGUAGUGGAAUUCCCGGUGUAGUGGUGAAAUGCGUAGAUAUCAGGAGGAACACCGGUGGCGAAGGCGGGUCUCUGGGCCGAUACUGACGCUGAGGAGCGAAAGCGUGGGGAGCGAACAGG
rnacentral:rRNA from 1 species